AGAAAAAGAUUUUGCAAUGCCUGAAUUGGAGGAACAAUCAUCUUGACAAACUUUUUUAAAUGGUCUCUUAAACUUGUGAGUUGCCUGCUCCCACUCCACGUGCAUGGCCCCUGUAUGCACUUGGCUGUUGAUGAAAUCCGGCUGUAGUCUAGAUCCAACCUGUGGAGAGGUCAGUUUCUCUUCAAUGUCCUUCUCCUCCUCAACUGAGCCAUGCUCCUGCUAAAGUCAACAGAAAAACUGUUAUAGAGGUCAGUGCUACGGGAUCAAAUCUUUGCUCCUUUCACUCCCUGGUAUCCUAGUGGUACCACAUCUAGAGUGACCCCAUGUCCCUAUUUUAUAGGGAUAGUCCUGAUAUUUGGGGCUUUUUCUUCUAUAGGUGCCUAUUAUCCCC